UCGAGAAAGAAAACCUGGAAAGCCGACCGGAACCAUGGAGAAGGAGAAACUGGAGGGGCAAAUCUUGCCAUCAGCAUCUUCUGCCAACCCCAACAUCCUUUCACACCCCUCCCUGCCUCCACUCCUCGGAACUUCGGGAUAAGCGGGAGCCCACUGGUUCAGCAAUUCAGCAAACAUCAAAGAGACUCAGGUGUGCCCAGGUUACCUACCCUUGUGCUGUGUUUUAGGCUUGUAAUUAUAAAGGGGAAUCAAUCAAUAGAUAUGGUGAAUUUUUCUUUUUACCAGAUAUUUGCCUGUAAUGUGAAUUUUACUUCAUAUACCCUUUCUAGGUUCAAGUUCCACUUACCUGUUGGCUUUAAAAAAAAAAACAACCCUUAUCUUCUGUUUUAGAAUUGAUACUAAGUAUCUGCUUUAGGAUAAGGGCUGGGGCAGGUGUGGUUAAGUGACAGGGUAACACAGCUAGGAAGUGCCCGAGACUAGAUUUGAACCCUGUCCCCCUGACUCUAGACCUAAUUCUAUUCACUAAGUUACCUAGUUUCUCUGGCUUUUUUUUUUUUUUAGUUUAAGGAAAACUACGAUAAAAGACCUGUUUUGAGAUUUCACUUUGGCAUAGAAAGUUCCUCAAUGUGAGUUACUUAUAUCUAUGAUAAUCGUAGUCCUGGUCCCCAAGCCAAAUAUUAACUCCGAUAAAACAUAUUGUAAGAAACUUUAUUAUACAUCAUAUGUAUAAUAGUAUACAUCAUAGUUUAUUAAAACAAAAAUAUCAAUAAUUGCAUUUUAAUGCACUGUAUAAUAACAAAUUGUUAGACUAAUUCUGUGUAAAUGAUCAUUCAGAUUUUUCUUUCUUGUUGCCAUGUUUAGCUUUCCUAAGAAUUUGCUGUUAUUAUUAUCAUCUUUAAAAUCAACCUUUAAAAGAAUCCUAUAGCUUUUUGUUUCAGUAAAAUAUUCUCAUAUUCGUGACAUUAUAUAGACUGUAAUAUGAGCCUCUUGAUAGGUUGUUCUUAUUUCACUGAUUAAAGAUACUUUCUACUUCUCCUAAACCUUUAAGGGGGAAAAGAGGGUUAAAAAAAACAACAACAAUUUUUGAAGCCAUCAAAGAAAAUUAUGAUCCUGAAAUAACAUUGUUUAUGCUAAUUGAAAUGAACUUAUUUCUUUAUUUUUAAGGUCCACAUUUAAUAGAUCUCCUUUCUUUUUACAAAAUCCUGCUCCCCAGUGAUUAAUAAACUGAGGUGGUUAUAAAAUGCUCUCUUGUUC
rnacentral:lncRNA from 1 species